rnacentral:rRNA from 1 species
UUAAGCGACUAAGCGUACACGGUGGAUGCCCUGGCAGUCAGAGGCGAUGAAGGACGUGCUAAUCUGCGAAAAGCGUCGGUAAGGUGAUAUGAACCGUUACAGCCGGCGAUGUCCGAAUGGGGAAACCCAGUGCAAUUCGUUGCACUAUCGUUAACUGAAUACAUAGGUUAACGAAGCGAACCGGGGGAACUGAAACAUCUAAGUACCCCGAGGAAAAGAAAUCAACCGAGAUUCCCCCAGUAGCGGCGAGCGAACGGGGAGCAGCCCAGAGUCUGAAUCAGCUUGUGUGUUAGUGGAACGGUCUGGAAAGUCCGACGGUACAGGGUGAUAGUCCCGUACACCAAAAUGCACAGGUUGUGAACUCGAAGAGUAGGGCGGGACACGUGGUAUCCUGUCUGAAUAUGGGGGGACCAUCCUCCAAGGCUAAAUACUCCUGACUGACCGAUAGUGAACCAGUACCGUGAGGGAAAGGCGAAAAGAACCCCGGCGAGGGGAGUGAAAAAGAACCUGAAACCGUGUACGUACAAGCAGUGGGAGCACCUUCGGGUGUGACUGCGUACCUUUUGUAUAAUGGGUCAGCGACUUAUAUUCUGUAGCAAGGUUAACCGUAUAGGGGAGCCGCAGGGAAACCGAGUCUUAACUGGGCGUUAAGUUGCAGGGUAUAGACCCGAAACCCGGUGAUCUAGCCAUGGGCAGGUUGAAGGUUGGGUAACACUAACUGGAGGACCGAACCGACUAAUGUUGAAAAAUUAGCGGAUGACUUGUGGCUGGGGGUGAAAGGCCAAUCAAACCGGGAGAUAGCUGGUUCUCCCCGAAAGCUAUUUAGGUAGCGCCUCGUGAACUCAUCUUCGGGGGUAGAGCACUGUUUCGGCUAGGGGGUCAUCCCGACUUACCAACCCGAUGCAAACUACGAAUACCGAAGAAUGUUAUCACGGGAGACACACGGCGGGUGCUAACGUCCGUCGUGAAGAGGGAAACAACCCAGACCGCCAGCUAAGGUCCCAAAGUCAUGGUUAAGUGGGAAACGAUGUGGGAAGGCACAGACAGCCAGGAUGUUGGCUUAGAAGCAGCCAUCAUUUAAAGAAAGCGUAAUAGCUCACUGGUCGAGUCGGCCUGCGCGGAAGAUGUAACGGGGCUAAACCAUGCACCGAAGCUGCGGCAGCGACACUAUGUGUUGUUGGGUAGGGGAGCGUUCUGUAAGCCUGCGAAGGUGUGCUGUGAGGCAUGCUGGAGGUAUCAGAAGUGCGAAUGCUGACAUAAGUAACGAUAAAGCGGGUGAAAAGCCCGCUCGCCGGAAGACCAAGGGUUCCUGUCCAACGUUAAUCGGGGCAGGGUGAGUCGACCCCUAAGGCGAGGCCGAAAGGCGUAGUCGAUGGGAAACAGGUUAAUAUUCCUGUACUUGGUGUUACUGCGAAGGGGGGACGGAGAAGGCUAUGUUAGCCGGGCGACGGUUGUCCCGGUUUAAGCAUGUAGGCUGGUUGUCCAGGCAAAUCCGGAUAAUCAAGGCUGAGGUGUGAUGACGAGGCACUACGGUGCUGAAGUAACAAAUGCCCUGCUUCCAGGAAAAGCCUCUAAGCAUCAGGUAACAUCAAAUCGUACCCCAAACCGACACAGGUGGUCAGGUAGAGAAUACCAAGGCGCUUGAGAGAACUCGGGUGAAGGAACUAGGCAAAAUGGUGCCGUAACUUCGGGAGAAGGCACGCUGGUGUGUAGGUGAAGUCCCUGCGGAUGGAGCUGAGACCAGUCGAAGAUACCAGCUGGCUGCAACUGUUUAUUAAAAACACAGCACUGUGCAAACACGAAAGUGGACGUAUACGGUGUGACGCCUGCCCGGUGCCGGAAGGUUAAUUGAUGGGGUUAUCCGUAAGGAGAAGCUCUUGAUCGAAGCCCCGGUAAACGGCGGCCGUAACUAUAACGGUCCUAAGGUAGCGAAAUUCCUUGUCGGGUAAGUUCCGACCUGCACGAAUGGCGUAAUGAUGGCCAGGCUGUCUCCACCCGAGACUCAGUGAAAUUGAACUCGCUGUGAAGAUGCAGUGUACCCGCGGCAAGACGGAAAGACCCCGUGAACCUUUACUAUAGCUUGACACUGAACAUUGAGCCUUGAUGUGUAGGAUAGGUGGGAGGCUUUGAAGCGUGGACGCCAGUCUGCGUGGAGCCAACCUUGAAAUACCACCCUUUAAUGUUUGAUGUUCUAACGUUGGCCCCUUAUCGGGGUUGCGGACAGUGUCUGGUGGGUAGUUUGACUGGGGCGGUCUCCUCCCAAAGCGUAACGGAGGAGCACGAAGGUUAGCUAAUCCUGGUCGGACAUCAGGAGGUUAGUGCAAUGGCAUAAGCUAGCUUGACUGCGAGCGUGACGGCGCGAGCAGGUGCGAAAGCAGGUCAUAGUGAUCCGGUGGUUCUGAAUGGAAGGGCCAUCGCUCAACGGAUAAAAGGUACUCCGGGGAUAACAGGCUGAUACCGCCCAAGAGUUCAUAUCGACGGCGGUGUUUGGCACCUCGAUGUCGGCUCAUCACAUCCUGGGGCUGAAGUAGGUCCCAAGGGUAUGGCUGUUCGCCAUUUAAAGUGGUACGCGAGCUGGGUUUAGAACGUCGUGAGACAGUUCGGUCCCUAUCUGCCGUGGGCGCUGGAGAAUUGAGGGGGGCUGCUCCUAGUACGAGAGGACCGGAGUGGACGCAUCACUGGUGUUCGGGUUGUCAUGCCAAUGGCACUGCCCGGUAGCUAAAUGCGGAAGAGAUAAGUGCUGAAAGCAUCUAAGCACGAAACUUGCCCCGAGAUGAGUUCUCCCUGAGACUUUAAGUCUCCUGAAGGAACGUUAAAGACGAUGACGUUGAUAGGCCGGGUGUGUAAGCGCAGCGAUGCGUUGAGCUAACCGGUACUAAUGAACCGUGAGGCUUAACCUU